UUUAGGGCAAGAACAUAAUUAAUAACCUGGAUUUAGACUCAAGCAUGACUUAUCUGCAGGAACUGUAAAAUAGAGACAGAGAUGGAGUAAAGAAAAAAAACACUGGAAUUAAGAAUGGAAGUCAGACAUGUCCUGAAUCUCAGUAGUGAUUAUGACUGAACCCAAGUUUCAUAACCUAUAUAUCCUUCUUUAUCUGUAAACUGGAAAUAGUAAUAUCCACCAUUGGGUGGCUGUGGAGAUUAAGUGAUGUGAUUCAAUAAAUGUGUUUAUUAUAGGAGGAAAAGCUGGGUAAAGAAACAGACCUAACAGAAGAAAAAUCCAGGCAGAAGGCACAGUAUGUGCAGAGGCAAAGAGAGGGUAAAAGGCGUCUUAGAGAGCUGUGAAUAGUUUGGUUUGGCUCAAAGAUAAAUGGAGGUUUGAAGCAACAGUGGAAGGCAGGAGUGGGAUUUUAAUGAGAAUGUCAAUUUUAUCCUGAAGGUGACUUAGGGACCAUUUAAAGGUUUACACAGCAAACUGUCAAGAUCAGAAAGCUAUUUCAAGAUCAUUCAGGUAGCAGUGAAAGGCUAGAUUGGACAUGAGUUACUAGGGCCAGAAAGUCCAUUAAUGGCUCGUACGGUACUCCAAGGAAAAGAAGAAAACAUGAAGUGAAUCAGCAGCAAGACACACGCAGAUAAAGGACUGUAGAUAAGGGGAUAGAUUAGAGAGCCAACUAUAAGGAGAUUCCUUCAAAAAUCAACAAUGUAGUGAAUGGUGGGUUGGGAAGCUGAAGAAGAGAGGGGUUUCUGGCUUAACUCACUCACUAUAUCAAGGAAUACAGGAGAAAUCCCCGGCUAGUACAGGACGAUUCCUAUUUACCUUAUCAAGCUCGCCAAGUCCAAGGACGGUCCAAGAGAUCCAAUGAACUGGACUCAGAACGAGACGUCAGGGCACAAGAGGGAGAAAUCAGUGUGAAGAUGGCCGAAGUGACCGAGGCACUUAAGAUCGCAGAGGGAGUGGUGGGAAAAAGCCCAGAACAUGAUUUCAAAGAAUUCCCGACAUGUCGUAUGGUCCGCACGACCAAGGGGUAUAUAAAGGAGACUAGGGAGCAGGGAGGCAGGAGGCCGACCAGGAGGUCACCAGCCUUCCGCUAAGAGUGAAGAGGGGAGGAAGAUGCCACACUAUCAAAUGGGGCAGAAAGUUCAGGAUACAGGUGAGUUCAUUGGAUGUGACAAAAAGGAGUGGGAAUUGUUCACUGAGUGGCAUUUCUCUAGACCUCUACACCGUGUGCUAAAUACCUGUCAUCUAUCACUUCCUUUAUUCCUCAAAACACAAUCUGUCAAGCGAAUAUUAAACUGCCCAUCUUCCUGACAAGGAAAUGGGAAGUAAAUGGUUCCGUAGACUAAGUAAUCGGAGAUACAGUUCAUGUGUGUAAGAGCAGACGUGAGACCCACCCUCUUGAUGACGGUGGGCACAGUGCAGCCAUGAGGGGAGAGCCCAGCUGAAGCUGACGGGACAGUGAAAUAUAAACCACUGUUUAACAAGCUUUGUUGUGAAAAGGGAAGAGCACACACCCCAGGAAUGAUUUUACAUCACUGAUUCAGCUGCAUUUGACAGGUAUUCGUAAUACUCUUUUUUCUGCAUUUUUGGUCCUUGGAACAAAGUAGCGUAUUAGUCUUAAGAAUGAAAGUGAUGUAGGGUGAAUUCAAUCUUCUUCAGCAUCACCCUGGAUAGAAAAGCUCGUGACACAAAUAAGCUCCCAUUAAUACCACUUAAAACACAUAACAAGUUUAACUUUUAAGAUUUUUUAAAUGUUGUUAAAUCACCAAAAGGGGCUUCAAGUCAUUUCUGGUUUCAAAUAGUGGACUGGUCCCAAAAGUUUCUCUCUUCCCCCUCCCAAAUAAAGUGAAAAAGGAACUCAAAGGCCUUACGCUGAGGAAAGAAGCCAGCUUUGAAAAGUUACAUAUGGUAUACGACACCAUUUAUGACCUCUCCAGGGCAAAACCAGGGGGUGGGAGCGCGACCGAUGGUUGCCAGGGGUGACGGGUGGGGGAAGGCGCCUAUAGAGGGGCAGCGUAAGGGGGUUUUGGAGGUUGACGGUACCUGCUCUGUAUCCAUGAUGGUUAUACAAAUCUAUAAAGUGUUAAAAUUUACAGAACCGUAUGCUAUAAGAAAACUCAAGUCAACUGUAUGAUAAUCUAAAAAAAAUUUUUUUUAAAGAUAAUGAGCCCAAAAUGAUGGAGCACUGAGAGGGGACAAAACAAGAAACACAAUUUCUGGAAAACAGCAAAUGGGAUACGACUGAGCUGGACAGAGGAACUGCAAUCCAGAGGGACUCCAAGUUGGGGUGCCAGUAAGAACAAGCUGACUGGUCCCACAGCCCGAACUCAGACGUGGAGGAACAAGAACUUCGCAGAGUGGCAUGUCUGAGUAGCACCAUGCUAGUGAAGCCUGCCACCUGCCGAACCCUGCCCACAAAGCUCUCAGCCAGUCUUCCACGGUCCGCUCCUACAGGACAGACUGUCAAGACCAGUCAGAAAUAGAAGGGAAGUCACCCACGCGAACAAGACAAGGAAACUAAAAUUCAGAAUGGUCACAGUAAUUGGUGUGAACAGAGUAGGAAAGAAAAGCAAUUAAUAUGUGUGCAUCUGUAACCUAUUAUAUUCAGAAAAAUAACAUUUUACCUUGAACUAAGGUUAGUAUAUUUUGAAAGUAAGAGAAAUAAAGGAUGUCUUAGAAAUUAAAAUAUUUUAAAAUAUAUGAAAAAUUCAAUAGAAAGAAAUAAUGCUGGAAGAUCAAAAUGAAGAAAUCAUCUAGAAAAAACAGAGACAACAGUGUCCAAACAAAUAGUGUCCAAGGAAAAGAGAAGAAAAUUAAGCAUCAGUCUUAGAGGUCAAUUACCUGACUAGGAUAGCAUCAUAGUUCUCAAAAGCAGAAGAGAAUGGAGCAAUGCCUUCAAAAUACUGGGAGAGAAUUAUUAUUUUUUAUUAAAGUAUUACUGAUAUACAAUCUUA